GAGUUUGAUCAUGGCUCAGAUUGAACGCUGGCGGCAGGCCUAACACAUGCAAGUCGAACGGUAACAGGAAGCAGCUUGCUGCUUCGCUGACGAGUGGCGGACGGGUGAGUAAUGUCUGGGAAGCUGCCUGAUGGAGGGGGAUAACUACUGGAAACGGUAGCUAAUACCGCAUAAUGUCGCAAGACCAAAGAGGGGGACCUUCGGGCCUCUUGCCAUCGGGUGUGCCCAGAUGGGAUUAGCUUGUUGGUGGGGUAACGGCUCACCGAGGCGACGAUCCCUAGCUGGUCUGAGAGGAUGACCAGCCACACUGGAACUGAGACACGGUCCAGACUCCUACGGGAGGCAGCAGUGGGGAAUAUUGCACAAUGGGCGCAAGCCUGAUGCAGCCAUGCCGCGUGUAUGAAGAAGGCCUUCGGGUUGUAAAGUACUUUCAGCGGGGAGGAAGGGAGUAAAGUUAAUACCUUUGCUCAUUGACGUUACCCGCAGAAGAAGCACCGGCUAACUCCGUGCCAGCAGCCGCGGUAAUACGGAGGGUGCAAGCGUUAAUCGGAAUUACUGGGCGUAAAGCGCACGCAGGCGGUUUGUUAAGUCAGAUGUGAAAUCCCCGGGCUCAACCUGGGAACUGCAUCUGAUACUGGCAAGCUUGAGUCUCGUAGAGGGGGGUAGAAUUCCAGGUGUAGCGGUGAAAUGCGUAGAGAUCUGGAGGAAUACCGGUGGCGAAGGCGGCCCCCUGGACGAAGACUGACGCUCAGGUGCGAAAGCGUGGGGAGCAAACAGGAUUAGAUACCCUGGUAGUCCACGCCGUAAACGAUGUCGACUUGGAGGUUGUGCCCUUGAGGCGUGGCUUCCGGAGCUAACGCGUUAAGUCGACCGCCUGGGGAGUACGGCCGCAAGGUUAAAACUCAAAUGAAUUGACGGGGGCCCGCACAAGCGGUGGAGCAUGUGGUUUAAUUCGAUGCAACGCGAGGAACCUUACCUGGUCUUGACAUCCACGGAAGUUUUCAGAGAUGAGAAUGUGCCUUCGGGAACCGUGAGACAGGUGCUGCAUGGCUGUCGUCAGCUCGUGUUGUGAAAUGUUGGGUUAAGUCCCGCAACGAGCGCAACCCUUAUCCUUUGUUGCCAGCGGUCCGGCCGGGAACUCAAAGGAGACUGCCAGUGAUAAACUGGAGGAAGGUGGGGAUGACGUCAAGUCAUCAUGGCCCUUACGACCAGGGCUACACACGUGCUACAAUGGCGCAUACAAAGAGAAGCGACCUCGCGAGAGCAAGCGGACCUCAUAAAGUGCGUCGUAGUCCGGAUUGGAGUCUGCAACUCGACACCAUGAAGUCGGAAUCGCUAGUAAUCGUGGAUCAGAAUGCCAAGGUGAAUACGUUCCCGGGCCUUGUACACACCGCCCGUCACACCAUGGGAGUGGGUUGCAAAAGAAGUAGGUAGCUUAACCUUCGGGAGGGCGCUUACCACUUUGUGAUUCAUGACUGGGGUGAGGUCGUAACAAGGUA
rnacentral:rRNA from 1 species